CCCUUUUUUAUUUUCACCAAUAUUUUUACGGUGAACUUUUUUAUUCCUCUUUGUCCUACGUUCAGCACUUUCACUAAAUAUCGCCGUCGUUGGAGCACAUCGACUGUCGUUGCCACCCCUUUCCUCUUCCGAUUUCAUUGUCGUCGUUGUCGCCUCAUUUAGAGAAGGUAAGUUUUACUUAUUUUGUUUUUGUCUCUUCCAAUAUAUUUGAUUAUCUCCAAAACCUCAAAUCCCUUUAUCUGCUUUUGCCCCCAAAUCUCUACAUCAACUUUUGAAAAAAAAAAACUCAUCUCUCUUUCUCUUCGAGCUAAUGAGAUGUAAAUAAUCUUCUUAUGUUCUUGUGAUGUUAGAUUGUUCAAUAGGACUGUAUAUUUCUUAUUUUGAAAUGAGCUUGAUGUUGCUCUAAUUCAAGAUGCUCAGGAUGAAAAGCUUUGGUUUGCUUAUUUGAUUUAUUGGAUUCAAUUGUCGUUUUAUCCACUCUAUGUAAUUAUAUUUAUAUUUUGAAAAUGAUCAACAAUCAUGGAAUGAUGAUGUGUAUGCGCAAGUUAAAAAGUCGAAAAAAGGGGUCUGUUGGUUGUAUGGGAACAAUAUCCACUUCAUCUCUUAAGUUCGCUCCUUCAUCAUCUAAAUCCCAACAAAAUGAAAAGAUAGAACGGUUAAAAACAGAGGUUCAAGAUUUGAAGGAAGUUUUAGGUAAUGUUUUAACAUUACUUCAAACAAAGUUUCCAGACGACAAUGUGAAUGUUGUAACUGUUAUGCGGGCGUUCAAUAGAGAGGUAUUUGAUGCUAGUAGUGGUCUAAAUUUAUCACAACGUCCGAGAAAUUGAUCUUCAAGUUGCAGUCAUCAACUUGAUGAAGAUGAAGAUGGUAAAUUAUGUCCAAGCUUCAUUAUUUUAUAUAAUUUCACUAUUUGAUUUCUUUAAAUACAUAUACAUUUUCAAUUUUAUACAAGUGAUACUCCAAAGGAAUAUGUGAAGGGCUAUGUUUAGACUUUGUUUGGACUAUAUAUUUGGUUUGGUUGAUGACU